rnacentral:rRNA from 1 species
CGCUGGCGGCGUGCCUAAUACAUGCAAGUCGAGCGCAGGAAGCCGUCUGAACCCUUCGGGGGGACGACGGUGGAAUGAGCGGCGGACGGGUGAGUAACACGUAAAGAACCUGCCCAUAGGUCUGGGAUAACCACGAGAAAUCGGGGCUAAUACCGGAUGUGUCAUCGGACCGCAUGGUCCGCUGAUGAAAGGCGCUCCGGCGUCGCCCAUGGAUGGCUUUGCGGUGCAUUAGCUAGUUGGUGGGGUAACGGCCCACCAAGGCGACGAUGCAUAGCCGACCUGAGAGGGUGAUCGGCCACACUGGGACUGAGACACGGCCCAGACUCCUACGGGAGGCAGCAGUAGGGAAUCUUCCACAAUGGACGAAAGUCUGAUGGAGCAACGCCGCGUGAACGAUGAAGGCUUUCGGGUCGUAAAGUUCUGUUGUAAGGGAAGAA